rnacentral:rRNA from 1 species
CCUACGGGAGGCAGCAGUGAGGAAUAUUGGUCAAUGGCCGGAAGGCUGAACCAGCCAAGCCGCGUGAAGGACGAAGGUGCCAAGCAUUGUAAACUUCUUUUGUCAAGGGACAAAAUCAGGCUCGAGAGCCUGACCGAGGGUACUUGAAGAAAAAGCAUCGGCUAACUCCGUGCCAGCAGCCGCGGUAAUACGGAGGAUGCGCGCGUUAUCCGGUUGUAUUGGGUUUAAAGGGUGCGGAGGCGGGCUGUUAAGUCAGCGGUAAAAGCCCGGGGCUCAACCCCGGCGAGCCGGUGAAACUGGCUGUCUUGAGAUGUCGAGAGGUAUGCGGAAUUCGCAGUGUAGCGGUGAAAUGCUUAGAUAUUGCGAAGAACUCCGAUUGCGAAGGCAGCUCACCGGCGGCGAUCUGACGCUGAGGCACGAAAGCGUGGGUAUCGAACAGGAUUAGAUACCCGUGUAGUC